GGAACGGGCUGGAGUACAGUGCACAGUGUCCCCAAAUCAAUACUUCAAUCAGUGUGCGGAGAAGACUAAAGGGUGAGGAGAGGAAGCAGAGAAGACGGGGGAGGAGAAGAAGGUGGAAGCAGCGGUGGAGUGGAUAUGAAGAGGAAAAGUUGAGUUGAAGAGAGCAAAAGGCCAGCAGGGACAAUGUGGAGGGAAGAGGCAACAACAUGACCAGCAGACGUAUUACACAAUGCAUCACUGUUACCAUGGGUUAGCCCGGGGCAAUUAUCUCAAAAGAGACAAUUAAGUUGCUCCGCAGGUUAAAGCAACGUAUAUCUGGGAGUCAUGAUAACGUG